rnacentral:rRNA from 1 species
GACGAACACUGGCGGCGUGCCUAAUACAUGCAAGUAGAACGCUGAAGGAGGAGCUUGCUUCUCUGGAUGAGUUGCGAACGGGUGAGUAACGCGUAGGUAACCUGCCUGGUAGCGGGGGAUAACUAUUGGAAACGAUAGCUAAUACCGCAUAAGAGUAGAUGUUGCAUGACAUUUGCUUAAAAGGUGCAAUUGCAUCACUACCAGAUGGACCUGCGUUGUAUUAGCUAGUUGGUGAGGUAACGGCUCACCAAGGCGACGAUACAUAGCCGACCUGAGAGGGUGAUCGGCCACACUGGGACUGAGACACGGCCCAGACUCCUACGGGAGGCAGCAGUAGGGAAUCUUCGGCAAUGGACGGAAGUCUGACCGAGCAACGCCGCGUGAGUGAAGAAGGUUUUCGGAUCGUAAAGCUCUGUUGUAAGAGAAGAACGAGUGUGAGAGUGGAAAGUUCACACUGUGACGGUAUCUUACCAGAAAGGGACGGCUAACUACGU